AGUAAAGAGAAAGAAAUACAGAUGUCCUUCCCACCGGUGAAAACCCUCAAAAUCACCUCCUCUUCCUCUUCCUAUUCGCAUUUUCAGCUUCUCCACUUCAUUUUUGAUUGUCUCCUUGCCCAAAUUUACAGAGAAAACCCUCAAAACCAUCAUAUCUGCGAGAGGGAGUGAAGGGAAGGGGACCAAUCUUUAGGGUUUUUGUAGCCACAAUGACAGAGAGACGGUGGAGUGCCCGCAGGAUGGCUGCGAACGCGAGGAUAGCCAUGGUGAGUUUGAGCCACCUAGCAGAAAAAGAUUACGUAAGCGCUCUAAUUAUGACGAUGACUGGGAAGAAGAUUGUAAUGACGGGCUGGAUUCUUUUCCCAAAGCUGGAUCUCAUAAGAAGGCUUCUUAUGACCAAGAAUGCAAGAAGCUUUUCAGUAAUUGCUGGGCCAAGAAUGCAAGAAGCUUUUCAGCCUGGAGCUACUCCUGCACAGCCUGGAAAGAGGCACUUUCUGUGCUAUAAUAUGCUUGCAAGUAUAACCACAAUGGAACAUGAUGGAUAUUCACAUAUAGAGAUAAAUUUCCAUGAUACCAGCAGUGGUCCACGUGUUCCUGCAAUAACUGACUAUUUUGGCUUCACAAAGGCUUCUCUAAAUGAGAGUGGGAGUGUAUUGGCCAAUCCAUGUAAAGGAGAGAAGAAUAUUGAGCACACUUAUGUAUUGGCCCUUCAGUAGCUGGGCAGAUAACAGUGAGGUUAACCGGAUUUCCUUAUGCAUAUUUAGUGGUCUAUGCGACUUGAAGGGGAAGAAGUUAGAGCAAUAGCACUUGGAAGUGCUUGGGUUACCAGCCUUAAUUUUCUUCGUAUCUUCAAUGAGGGUGGUCUGCAGAUAGAUUUCCAUGAUACCAGCAGUGGUCCACGUGUUCCUGCAAUGACUGACUAUUUUGGCUUCUCGAUGGCUUCUCUAAAUGAGAGUGGGAGUGUAUUUGCCAAUCCAUGUAAAGGCGAGAAGAAUAUGAGCACACUUAUAUAUUGGCCCUUCAGUAGCUGGGCAGAUAAUAGUGAGGUUAACCGGAUUUCCUUAUGCAUAUUUAGUGGUCUAUGCGACUUGAAGGGGAAGAAGUUAGAGCGAUAGCACUUGGAAGUGCUUGGGUUGCAGCCAUUACCAGCCUUAAUUUUCUUCAAAAUCUUCACUGAGGGUGGUCUGCAGGUUAUCAUGGUAACUAACCGAGGUCACACUUUGGACCCUGCCCUCCUACGUCUGGGAAGACUUGAUCGUAAUAUUGAGUUCCCUUUGCCACAUAGAUGUCAGAAGAGGCUCGUCUCUCAGAUUAAGAGGAAGCUGCCGAAAGUUAAUCGGGCUCUGGCAGCCUGACUUCUUGAGGAGAAGGAAGGGCUGAAUGAGAAUAAGGGAGCUAAUGAUGCAGAUGUUCUGAAAACUUCAAAGAAAAAGAAAGGUCUCACGAGUGAAGUUCUCAAAGAUGAGAGGUUUACAGCUAUGUUCGAAAAUAAGGACUUUGAGGUUGAUGAAUUCUCAAACGAAUACCUGCCUUUGUACCCAAUGCCAUCAAUAACAAAAAAAGGCAUCUUUGCUGGAGGAGCAUUUUAAAGCUGUUGAAGAAGAGGAUGAAAAGGCUAUUGGUGGUUCUGAUGCAUCAUCAGCGAGUGAAUUGUGAGAAGAUGAGCAUGAAAACACAAAGGCCAAAUCCAAGAAGAAAGUACAAGCUCCUAGAUUUUUCGAAGUGAAGGAUAAAUGGCAAAAUAAGGGUUUUCUAAAAACCCCUCAAAAACAGAGAGGAAAAACCAACAGAGGGGUUGGGGUUUAGUACCACUGGCGGAGGGUUUAUUACUCUAGUUGAUGGAAGCGAAGAUGUGUUUCUUUCAUCAAUCAGCACACCCAGGAGAAGCGGCGUUGGAGGUGGAUGCGUCACAAAAAUUCAAGAAAGUAAACCCCACUGAUUAAAAGGAAGCUGCCGAAAGUUAAUCGGUCUCUGGCUGCUCGACUUCUUAAGGAGGAUGAAGAGUUGAAUUGGAUUUAGGGAAGUGUUGAUGCAGAUGUUCAGAAAACAUCAAAGAAUAAGAAAGGUCUCACGAGUGAAGUUCUCAAAGAUAUGAGGUUUACAACUAUGUUUGAAAAUAAGGACUUUGAGGUUGAUGAAUUCUCAAACGAAUACCUGGCUUUGCACCCAAUGACAUCAACAACAAAAAAAGGCAUCUAUGCUGGAGGAGCAUUUUGAAGCUGUUGAUGAUGAGGAUGAAAAGGCUAUUGAUGGUUCUGAUGCAUCAUCAGCGAGUGAAUUGUGAGACGAUGAGCAUGAAAACACAAAGGCCAAAUCCAAGAACAAAGUACAAGCUCCUAGGUGAGACACAUGUUUUCAUUCGGACAGCAGGAGCAAAAUUUCGUUCUUUGUGCAUGCAGAAGUCAUCACAGAAAAACAAGUUCAGAAUGCACAUUUACGUAAUCAAGUCUUCAGUAUCUUGUCAUAUCUGUAGAUUUUUCGAAGUGAAGGAUAAAUGGCAAAAGAAGGAUUUUCCAAAAACCCCUAAAAAAGAGAGAUGAAAAACCAACAGAGGGGCUGGGGUUUAAUACCACUGGCGGAGGGUUUAUUACUCCGGUUGAUGGAAGCGAAGAUGUGUUUCUUUCAUCAAUCAGCACACCCAGGAGAAGCGGUGUUGGAGGUGGAUGCGACACAAAAAUCCAAGAAAGUAAACCCCACUGAGGAAGCUGCCGAAAGUUAAUCGGUCUCUGGUAGCCCGACUUCUUGAGGAGGAUGAAGAGUUGAAUGAGAUUUAGGGAAGUGAUGAUGCAGAUGUUCAGAAAACAUCAAAGAAUAAGAAAGGUCUCACGAGUGAAGUUCUCAAAGAUAUGAGGUUUACAACUAUGUUUGAAAAUAAGGACUUUGAGGUUGAUGAAUUCUCAAACGAAUACAUGGCUUUGCACCCAAUGACAUCAACAACAAAAAAAGGCAUCUAUGCUGGAGGAGCAUUUUGAAGCUAUUGAAGAUGAGGAUGAAAAGGCUAUUGAUGGUUCUGAUGCAUCAUCAGCGAGUGAAUUGUGAAACGAUGAGCAUGAAAACACAAAGGCCAAAUCAAAGAAAAAAGUACAAGCUCCUAAGUGAGACACAUGUUUUCAUUCGGACAGCAGGAGCAAAAUUUCGUUCUUUGUGCAUGCAGAAGUCAUCACAUAAAAAUAAGUUCAGAAUGCACAUUUACGUAAUCAAGUCUUCAGUAUCUUGUCC